AGUGUAGGCGGCUACUUAAGUCGGAUGUGAAAUCCCCGGGCUCAACCUGGGAAUUGCAUUCGAUACUGGGUAGCUAGAGUUUGGUAGAGGUAAGUGGAAUUCCGGGUGUAGCGGUGAAAUGCGUAGAUAUCCGGAGGAACAUCAGUGGCGAAGGCGGCUUACUGGACCAAAACUGACGCUGAGGCUCGAAAGCGUGGGAAGCAAACAGGAUUAGAUACCCUGGUAGUCC
rnacentral:rRNA from 1 species